AACGAACGCUGGCGGCAGGCUUAACACAUGCAAGUCGAACGCACCUUCGGGUGAGUGGCAGACGGGUGAGUAACGCGUGGGAACCUUCCCUAUGGUACGGAAUAGCUCCGGGAAACUGGAAUUAAUACCGUAUAAGCCCUUCGGGGGAAAGAUUUAUCGCCAUAGGAUGGGCCCGCGUCGGAUUAGCUAGUUGGUAGGGUAAUGGCCUACCAAGGCAACGAUCCGUAGCUGGUCUUAGAGGAUGAUCAGCCACACUGGGACUGAGACACGGCCCAGACUCCUACGGGAGGCAGCAGUGGGGAAUAUUGGACAAUGGGCGAAAGCCUGAUCCAGCCAUGCCGCGUGAGUGACGAAGGCCUUAGGGUUGUAAAACUCUUUUGGCGGGGACGAUAAUGACGGUACCCGCAGAAUAAGCCCCGGCUAACUUCGUGCCAGCAGCCGCGGUAAUACGAAGGGGGCUAGCGUUGUUCGGAAUCACUGGGCGUAAAGCGCACGUAGGCGGACUGGUCAGUUGGGGGUGAAAUCCCAGGGCUCAACCCUGGAACUGCCUCCAAUACUGCCAGUCUUGAGUCCGAGAGAGGUGAGUGGAAUUCCUAGUGU
rnacentral:rRNA from 1 species